AAGUCACCUCUCCAGCCCUCAGGGAUCAUUUCUAUAGUUCGUCACUUGAAAGGUUUCUCUGACUGUGUAGAGUACUGGAAAUCAUGGGCCGGAGGCUGAGCGUUCUCUCCUGAGUGUGGAGCCUGCUCUUGGCGUUGCUUUGCUGCAACUGCUUCUUGUCCCUGAUGACUGUUCCUGCUUUCCUGUGGGGAGCUGGGGGAGAGGGUGCAGUCUGGGUGGC
ensembl:snoRNA U3 Small nucleolar RNA U3